rnacentral:rRNA from 1 species
UACGUAGGGGGCUAGCGUUGUCCGGAUUUAUUGGGCGUAAAGAGCGUGUAGGCGGCCAGGUAGGUCUGGUGUGAAAACUCGAGGCUUAACCUCGAGAUGUCAUCGGAAACCAUCUGGCUAGAGUCCGGAAGAGGAGAGUGGAAUUCCUGGUGUAGCGGUGAAAUGCGCAGAUAUCAGGAAGAACACCGAUGGCGAAAGCAGCUCUCUGGGACGGUACUGACGCUGAGACGCGAAAGCGUGGGGAGCGAACAGG